rnacentral:rRNA from 1 species
UACGGAGGGUGCAAGCGUUAUCCGGAUUUAUUGGGUUUAAAGGGUCCGUAGGCGGACUCGUAAGUCAGUGGUGAAAUCUCGCAGCUUAACUGUGAAACUGCCAUUGAUACUGCGGGUCUUGAGUGUUGUUGAAGUAGCUGGAAUAAGUAGUGUAGCGGUGAAAUGCAUAGAUAUUACUUAGAACACCAAUUGCGAAGGCAGGUUACUAAGCAACAACUGACGCUGAUGGACGAAAGCGUGGGGAGCGAACAGG